UACGUAGGGUGCAAGCGUUGUCCGGAAUUAUUGGGCGUAAAGAGCUCGUAGGCGGUCUGUCGCGUCUGCUGUGAAAACUCAGGGCUUAACCCUGAGCUUGCAGUGGGUACGGGCAGACUAGAGUGCGGUAGGGAGACUGGAAUUCCUGGUGUAGCGGUGAAAUACGUAGAGAUUGGGAAGAACACCGGUGGCGAAGGCGGUUCUCUGGGAAUGACCUGACGCUGAGGAGCGAAAGUGUGGGGAGCGAACAGG
rnacentral:rRNA from 1 species